AGAGCGAACGCUGGCGGCGUGCUUAACACAUGCAAGUCGAACGAGGUCUGUAGCAAUACAGAUACUCGUGGCGAACGGGUGCGUAACACGUGGAUAACCUUCCUUCAGGUGGGGAAUAACCCAGUGAAAAUUGGGCUAAUACCGCAGUAACAUGACGAUGCCACAUGGUGUUGUCUUCAAAGGCGCAAGUCGCCAGAAGAGGGAUCCGCGGCCGAUUAGCUAGUUGGCGAGGUAAUGGCUCACCCAAGGCAAUGAUCGGUAGCCGGACUGAGAGGUUGGCCGGCCACACUGGAACUGAGACACGGUCCAGACUCCUACGGGAGGCAGCAGUGGGGAAUCUUGCACAAUGGACGAAGUCUGAUGCAGCAACGCCGCGUGGGGGAUGAAGCUUUUCGGAGUGUAAACCCCUUUCGACCCGGAAGAAAGCCCGCAAGGGUUUGACGGUACGGGUAUAAGAAGCCCCCGGCUAACUACGUGCCAGCAGCCGCGGU
rnacentral:rRNA from 1 species